rnacentral:misc_RNA from 1 species
GAUGAAGAACGUAGCGAAAUGCGAUACGUAAUGUGAAUUGCAGAAUUCAGUGAAUCAUCGAAUCUUUGAACGCAUAUUGCGCUCUUUGGUAUUCCGAAGAGCAUGCUUGUUUGAGUAUCAGUAAACACCUCAAAACUUUUUUUUUUUUUAAUAAAACAGUUUUGGACUUGAGCAAUCCCAACACCAAUUUUUUUUAGAUCGGUGGCGGGUUGCUUGAAAUGCAGGUGCAGCUGGACAUUCUCCUGAGCUAAAAGCAUAUUUAUUUAGUCCCGUCAAACGGAUUAUUACUUUUGCUGCAGCUAAUAUAAAGGGAGUUUGACCGUUUUGGCUGACUGAUGCAGGAUUUCACAAGGGUCGGCAACGAUUCUUGUAAAACUCGAUCUCAAAUCAAGUAAGACUACCCGCUGAACUUAAGCAUAUCAAUAAGCGGAGGA